UACGGAGGAUUCGAGCGUUAUCCGGAAUCAUUGGGUUUAAAGGGUUCGUAGGCGGGUUUGUAAGUCAGGGGUGAAAGUUUACGGCUCAACCGUGAAAUUGCCUUUGAUACUGCAGAUCUUGAAUGUUUGUGAAGUAACUAGAAUAUGUGGUGUAGCGGUGAAAUGCAUAGAUAUCACAUGGAAUACCGAUUGCGAAGGCAGGUUACUAACAGAUUAUUGACGCUGAUGGACGAAAGCGUGGGUAGCGAACAGG
rnacentral:rRNA from 1 species